rnacentral:lncRNA from 1 species
AAAGUAUAAAGGUAGAACUGUGUAUUGGUAGGAAUGUAUUUUUAAGGACUAAGUAUUUCUUCUGUUUGUUUUUAACCCAACAGGUAUUCACUGAGGCAAUUGUGUGUGUGUGUUGUGGGGAGAGUGUUACCCCAAAUAAUAGUGUCAUAGAAACAACCCAUAGUCUCCAACUUACAAACUCUCUGACAGAUUAAACCUCUUACCCUCUCUUGACAUUUCUCUAGUGGAGCUAUUGAAGUUCUUGUUGUUUUUAGUGUUCUGAAUUAAAUUAAAAAAAUAACUUUUCAAAAUAACUUUUGUCAUUUACACAGGUAUCGUAAAAAUCAUAAACAAGCACAAAGAAAAAACAGAGCUAACCACUGUUUACAUUUUUGUAAAUGUCUUUCUAAUAUUUUAUUUAUUUUUAUAUGCAUAUAUAUGAUAAAUAUAUUUUAUGUAUAUAAAGUAUAUGAUAAAGUUUAUAUAUGUAAAAUUUAUAUAAUUAUGUAAUUUUAUUGUACAUGUAUACAGGUUACUUUAUAAUUUCAUUUAUAUUAUUUAUAUUCAGUAUGUUUAUAUAAUUUAAUAUAUAAUUGUAUAUCAUAAAAUAUACAUAUAUAUGUUUGCUAGUCCAUUUAGCAGAAGAUCAUGAAGUUUUUUUCAUAUCAUUUUUUGGCAAUGCUGGAUCUUUAGCCCACUGAGCCAUGUCAGGGAUCGAACCUGCAACCUCAUGGUUACUAGCUGGAUUCAUUUCUGCUGUAUAUCAUAAAAUAUACGUAUAUAUGUUUGCUAGUCCAUUUAGCAGAAGAUGAAGUUUUUUUCAUAUCAUUUUUUGUUUGUCUUGUUUUGUUUUGUUUUGUUUUUGUCUUUUUGUCUUUUUUUUAGGGCCGCACCUGUGGCAUAUAGAGGUUCCCAGGCUACGGGUCUAAUCGGAGCUGUUGCUGCCGGCCCACGCCAGAGCCAUAGCAACGCGGGAUCCCAGCCGCAUCUGCAACCUACACCACAGCUCAUGGCAACACCAGAUCCUCAACCCACUGAGUGAGGCCAGGGAUUGUACCCACAACCUCAUGGUUCCUAGUUGGAUUUGUUUCUGCUGCACCACAGUGGGAAUUCCCUUUUUUCAUAUCAUUAAAUAUGUUUCUAUGAUGUGCUGCUUUUUCAUGUCUUCCAUUGUAUGGAGGUCUCAUUAUUUACUUAACAAUCUGCUCUUGUUGGUCAUUUAGGUUUCUGAUUUUUCUCUGUUGUAACAAGUGAGAAACAUCUUUGCACAUUCUUUUCUGUGCAUACCUUUGAUAGUUUCCUUCAUAUAGUUUUUAGUGGUGUUUUUGCUGCAUU